rnacentral:rRNA from 1 species
CCCGCCCCAGCGGCGGGCAUGCGGAUUAAUUGAUGCAACGCGAAGAACCUUACCAAGCUUCCCCCUCCGGAACGGCCAGAAAUGGUCACUCUUUGGACACUCGUAAACAGGUGGUGCAUGAGUCGUCAGCUCGUGUCGUGAGAUGUUGGGUUAAGUCCCGCAACGAGCGCAACCCUCGUUCUAUGUUGCCAGCACGUAAUGGUGGGAACUCAUGGGAUACUGCCGGGGUCAACUCGGAGGAAGGUGGGGAUGACGUCAAAUCAUCAUGCCCCUUAUGUCUUGGGCUUCACGCAUGCUACAAUGGCCGGUACAAAGGGCUGCAUACCGUGAGGUGGAG